CUUUAUCCCGCAAUAGGGAUAGCAACGGUUAUCCUUUUGCUUACAGCGAAGGACAAAAGCCUGGGCAAGCAAAAGAUAUGAGUGGAUAGCCCGACCCGAG
rnacentral:sRNA from 1 species